rnacentral:tRNA from 1 species
GCCUGAGUGGUGGAACUGGUAGACACGCGAGACUUAAAAUCUCGUUCCUUCGGGAGUGUGGGUUCGAGUCCCACCUCAGGCACCA